rnacentral:rRNA from 1 species
AUGUCUAUCUUGUCCUGGAAUGUCCAGGGGCUGGGGGAUGAUGACAAAUGUGUGCUUGUGCGUAAGGCUAUUUGUGAUGCAAACCCCCUGAUUGCUUGUAUCCAGGAAACAAAACUCUCCGCGGUGUCCCAGUUCAAGGCCCGAACUUUUCUCCCCCCUAGGCUGGCUGCUCUCGAGUGUGUGGAGGCUAACGGCUCUCGCGGGGGACUUGUUACGGCUUGGGACCCGAACGCCCUUUCCCUGGUUUCUUCUCGCUCCGGUCGUUUCGCCCUAACCACCGUCCUCUCCUCGACCUCUUCUGACCUCUCCUUCUCUAUAUCGAAUGUAUACGCACCGUCAGACCACUCUCUCAUGCAAGCGUUCGUCGACGAAAUGCUCUCCCUCGCGCCCUCGGUGCAAGGUGCUUGGCUUUUCAUCAGCGAUUUUAAUCUCAUCCGGUAUCAGGAGGAGAAAAACAAUGCCAACUUCUCUGCUUCGCUAUCCUCCAGGUUUAAUACCCUCAUUGCCUCCUUGUCCUGGCUCGAGCUCCCUCUCUCCGACCGCUUAUUCACUUGGACGAACCGCCGCACCCCCACUCUUGCUCGCCUAGACCGUGCGUUCUUCAACGCCGAAUGGGAUUCGGCUCUUCCCAACUCCUCGCUGGCAUCGUGCCCUCGGGUGACUUCCGAUCACUUCCCCCUGCUGGUCACGGCUUCCACCCAUGUCCCCGUCUCGCGCCAAUUCCGUUUUGAGAAUAAGUGGCUUCUUGACCCCCUCUUCCUUCCUUCCACCACCCCUUCCUGGGAUCGCCCCUCCCGUGUUCUAGACGGUGCUCGAGACAUUGCGACUAGGGUCAAGUCCUUUCGUCACGCGGCAAAGGUUUGGAAAGCUAAUCACCGGUAUGUCCCUGAGCUCGAUAACAACUGCAGAUUUAUUAUUGACCUUUUUUACUUUUUCGAGGAGUAUCGUGCGCUUUCAGUGGAUGAACGCGAUCUUCGGCGGGACGCUCCUGCCGCCCUGGCCCUCUAGGUGCGCCAACAGGUCGCAUUCUGGUGGCAGCGUGGGAAGUUCCGACGCGUGGGUGAGGGGGACGAGAACACCCGGUUCUUCCAUGCCCAGGCCUCUCAUCGGUUCCAGGUGAACCGGAUCCGGGAGCUGGACGUCGGUGGCACGGUGGUUGCCGGCCAUGCCGCCAAGGCAGAGGCCCUGCACGCCUUCUACACCGCCCUUUUAGGCACGGCCAGGGAGCCCGUGUGGGGUUUCAACCUGGCCACUCUCUACAUGGGUGCGCCUCUGGUGGAUGGUGCCAAACUGGAAGCCCCGUUCCAGCUUCGGGAGGUCGAGGCCGCCAUCCGCGCCCUUGACAGGACAAGUGCGCCUGGUCCCGACGGCCUGGGGACGGCGUUCUAUCAGGCGGCGUGGCCGACGGUGGCCAGCGACGUCAUGCGGCUAUUCGAUGGGGUCUACUCCUUGUCGGCUGAUCUCUCCUGCAUCAACCGGGCGCACAUUGUGUUGCUGCCCAAAAGCGACGGUGUUCUUUCUCCCGGAGGUUUCCGGCCGGUCUCGCUUCAAAACUGUGAUGUCAAGGUGGUUUGCAAAGCCCUGACUACCAGGCUUCAACAACAAAUCCCGGGGCUAAUUGACUCCGACCAGUCCGGCUUCAUCAAAGGGCGAAGCAUCUCCGAGAACUUCGUCUACACUGCGGAGAUUGUGCAAUGCUGUGACUCCAGGAAAGCACCUUCUCUGGUUCUCAAGCUUGACUUCGCGAAGGCCUUCGACUCCAUCAGCUGGCAGAGCCUUCGGCAGAUCAUGGAGGUGCGGGGUUUCCCCAAGCGCUGGUGUGACUAG